AUUGAACGCUGGCGGCAGGCUUAACACAUGCAAGUCGAGCGGAGAUGAGGUGCUUGCACCUUAUCUUAGCGGCGGACGGGUGAGUAAUGCUUAGAAAUCUGCCUAUUAGGGGGGGACAACAUUCCGAAAGGAAUGCUAAUACCGCAUACGCCCUACGGGGGAAAGCAGGGGAUCUUCGGACCUUGCGCUAAUAGAUGAGCCUAAGUCGGAUUAGCUAGUUGGUGGGGUAAAGGCCUACCAAGGCGACGAUCUGUAGCGGGUCUGAGAGGAUGAUCCGCCACACUGGGACUGAGACACGGCCCAGACUCCUACGGGAGGCAGCAGUGGGGAAUAUUGGACAAUGGGCGGAAGCCUGAUCCAGCCAUGCCGCGUGUGUGAAGAAGGCCUUUUGGUUGUAAAGCACUUUAAGCGAGGAGGAGGCUACCUGGAUUAAUACUCUAGGAUAGUGGACGUUACUCGCAGAAUAAGCACCGGCUAACUCUGUGCCAGCCGCCGCAGUAAAAC
rnacentral:rRNA from 1 species